rnacentral:rRNA from 1 species
GACGAACCACACAAACGUUAUUCGGAAUUACUGGGCUUAAAGGGUGCGUAGGCUGCGCAGAAAGUUGGGUGUGAAAUCCCUCGGCUCAACCGAGGAACUGCGCCCAAUACUACUGUGCUCGAGGGAGACAGAGGUGAGCGGAACUUAGGGUGGAGCGGUGAAAUGCGUUGAUAUCCGAAGGAACACCCGUGGCGAAAGCGGCUCACUGGGUCUCUUCUGACGCUGAGGCACGAAAGCGUGGGGAGCGAACAGG